AGAACUAUAGCUUUGGACUUGAUCCUUUGCUACUCACUCUUAGUUCUUAAUUGGUUACAUCACACCCAUAUUUAUAGGUGAGGGCUUGACAUUCUACUAGUUUCUAGUUCCUUCUUCAAACCUCUAGUAUAGAAAAAUCUAGACUAGCCACAUACUUGUAACUUCUAGAUCUUUCUAUUUGCAACCAAGGAAGCUAGUACUCUCUAGCUUCUUCCAUCAACUUAAUAACAUGCUAGAAUUUUCUAGCAAGCUCUAGCCUCAUCUCUUGCUUACUAGAAUAAUCUAGAACAUUGAUCAUGGGCUGGACCAUAUACCAACAAUCUCCCCCUCCAGUCCAUGAGGGAGGAAUUCCGAUCAUGACUCCAAGUUACCUGGAGUUCAUCCCAGCAGCCUUAAUGCAGAAUUUCAACUUUGAUUUUGUGACUACCUUUGUCAACAUGUCUGAAGAAUUAUUAUCAGUAUGAAUCUUCUUCAGCUGUAGCAACUUGUUCUCGAUAGCGUCUCUAAUCCAGUGAUAACGAAUAUCAAUGUGCUUAGUGCGUGAAUGAUAUGUAGUGUUCUUGCUCAAAUCCAGAGCACUCUGACUAUCACAAUAAACGCCAUAAUCACUUUGCUUCAAACCCAACUCUUGGAGAAACUGCUUCAGCCACAACAACUCCUUGCAUGCUUCUGUAGCGGCUAUGUAUUCAGCCUCGGUUGUGGACAAAGCAACGCACUUUUGUAAAUUGGAUUGCCAAGACACGGCUCCCCCUGCAAAAGUAAACAAGUACCCAGACGUAGAUUUUCUACCAUCCAGGUCACCUCCUAUGUCAGCAUCUGUAAAUCCUUCCAAGAUUGGUUUGGAACCGCCAAAGCACAAGCACAUCUUAGAAGUCCCAUUCAAAUAUCUGAGAAUCCACUUAACAGUUUCCCAGUGGUCCUUCCCUGGAUUAGAGAGAAACCUGCUCACCACACCUACUGGAUGAGCAAUAUCUGGCCGUGUGCACACCAUUGCAUACAUGAUACUUCCUACUGCUGAAGAGUAGGGAACAACUGCCAUUUUCUCCUUUUCUUCAUAUGUUUUUGGACACGACUCUUUGCUCAACUUGAUAUGAUUGGCUAAAGGUGAGCUUACUGAUUUGGCUGCUUUCAUGUUGAACCUUUCAAGCACCCGUUCAACAUACUUUUCUUGUGACAGCCACAACUUCUUGGAUUUUCUGUCACGAAUUAUCUCCAUGCCCAAAAUCUGCUUGGUUGGCCCUAAGUCCUUCAUGUCAAAGGACUUAGAUAACUCUUCUUUGAGCUUUUUAAUCAUAGAAGCAUCUUGUCCGACAAUCAACAUGUCAUCAACAUAAAGCAAUAAGAUGAUGAAUUUACCUCCAGAAAAUUGUUUGAUAUAGACACAAGAGUCAGCAUGAGUUCUCUUGUACCCAUUACUCACCAUGAAUGAGUUGAACUUCUUAUUCCACUGUCUCAGAGCCUGCUUAAGACUCUAUAAGCUUUUCUUGAGCUUGCACACCAAAUUUUCUUUACCUUUGACUUCAAAGCAUUUGGGUUGCUCCAUGUAUAUCUCCUCUUCUAAAUUGCCGUGGAGAAAUGCAGUUUUAACAUCUAACUGCUCGAGCUCAAGAUCCAUGCUUGCUACCAUACCAAGAAUAACUCGAAUGGAAGUCAUCUUCACCACUGGUAAGAAAAUCUCAUCAAAGUCAACUCCUUUCUUUUGACUAAAACCUUUGACAACCAAACGAGCCUUGUACCUUGUCACGUUGUCGUCUCUUUUCAAUUUGAACACCCACUUGUUUUUCAAUGCUUUUCUGCCCUUUGGAAGCUCCACCAGCUCAUAGGUAUCAUUCUUUAAUAAAGAAUCCAUCUCUGACUCCAUUGCCUUCAUCCAUUUAUCACUGUCGUUAUGAGCUCUGGCCUCCUCAUAGGUUUCAGGCUUUCCAUAAUUAGUCAACAUGAUAUACUCUGAUGAAGAAUACUUGGUAGAUGGUCUUCGACUUCUGCUGGAUCUUCUGACCUGAUCUUCAUGCUCUUGCAAGGCUGGAGGCACCCCCUGAUUGGGUUCUUCUUGAAUCUGCUCUUCUUGACUAGGCUCCAUUUGAUCAGCAAUCUCAUGGUCUGGCACAUCUUGAUCAGGCUCCCCCUGAUCAGCAUUAUCUGGUUCUGCAGGCACUUCAUUUGCAGCUGCUUCAGGGAUGUCAUCAUGACUUUCAUCUGAAGCUAGUGGAUCAACUCAUCUGACUGCGCCAUCUGGUUGUGCCUCUUUAUCCGAAUCCCCAAUUGUUUGAUCUUCAUAAAAGACCACGUCUCUACUUCGGAUAAACUUCUUCUGGUAUGGGUCCCAUAAUCUGUAACCAAAAUCUUCACCUCCAUAACCAAGAAAGAUGCACGGUGUAGCUUUGUAGUCUAACUUUGAUCUCUGCUCUUUGGGCACAUGCACAAAAGCUUUGCAGCCAAACACUUUCAGAUGAGAGUAAGACACAUCAUUACCAGUCCAUACUCUCUUCGGAACAUCAUGACCUAAUGGUACUGAUGGAGAUCGGUUGAUCAAAUAACAGGCUAUCCUUACAGCUUCACCCCAGAACUGCUUAGAUAACUUUGCAGUCCUCAGCAUACACCUGACUUUCUCCAUGAUGGUUCGGUUCAUUCUUUCAGCAACACCAUUAUGUUGUGGAGUUCCAGAAACUGUCUUCUCAUGACGUAUGCCAUGUUUCACACAAUACUCUCUAAACUGGUGAGAUGUGUACUCGCCGCCGUUGUCGCUACGAAGGCACUUGAGAGGUUUCCCGAUUUCCCUCUCCACCAUGGCAUGGAACUCCUGGAAUGUCUGAAACACCUGGUCUUUGGAUUUCAACAAAUACACCCAAACUUUUCGUGAAGCAUCAUCAAUAUAAGUAACAAAAUAUUUAUUUCUUCCGAGUGACUCGACUUCCAUGGGACCACAAACAUUUGAAUAAACAAGAUCUAACAAAUUUCCUUUCUUUGUAGAUAGAACCGAAAAACUAAUUCUUCUUUGUUUUCCGAAUAAACAAUGCUCACAAGAGUUUAACGACGUACCUUUGGCAAAGGGAAUGUGAGACUUCUUUGCCAAAACCUGUAGGCCUUUCUUGCUCAUGUGGCCUAGCCUCUUAUGCCACAAGUCUAGAGAUGAGUCAUCCACAACAUUCAACUCACCUUUCAAAACCUUGGCAUUUGACCGGUACAACGUACAACAAAGUCGUGCUCUUGCUACCACCAUUAAGCCUUUAGUAAGCUUCAAUUUUCCUUCGCCAAUAUGGUGAUAAUAUCCUUGUCGAUCAAGGGUACCGAUGGAUAUCAGAUUGAGACGUAUAUCAGGAAUAUGUCUCACAUCUUUCAACGUCAAUUGGCAGCCGAGAUUAGUUCUUAGACAUAUAUCACCAAUUCCAAGAAUUUUGGAAUAGCUUUCAUUCCCCAUCUUCACUAUGCCAAAGUCACCUUCUUUGUAUGUAUUGAAGAACUCUCGUUUGGACGUAGCAUGGAAGGAAGCUCCAUUGUCAUAGAUCCAUUCAAUGUCUCUGUUAGAGUUACCCAUAUGCAGACAUUCACCAACAGACAAUAUUUCUGGUACAUCACCACAUAUGACAGUAGUGGUAUUGCCAGUAUCAUCUUUCUUCUGAUUGUUCCUUCAUUUUGCUCUUUCUUCCAAACUCGACAAUUUUUCUUCAUAUGGCCUUCUUUGCCACAAUGGUGGCAUGCACCCUUGAACCUUGACUUGGAUCGGCUAGGACUCCUACCAUGACCUCUAGGCCCUCUACUCUUGCUUCUUCCGCAGUUCUCUGUGACAAAUACUUGGCUGCUAUCUGUGCCAAAAGUCUUUCUCCUUGUUUCUUCAUUGAGCAUGCUAUUUUUAACAUUAUCAAGGGUAAGGACACCAUUAGAAGCAGAGUUACUUAUACUCACCACAAAGGUCUCCCAACUGUCUGGCAAGGAUCCAAGUAACAAGAGCGCUUGUAGCUCAUCCUCGAUAGUCAUUUUCAUAGUAGCCAACUGGUUGAUGAUAUUCUGGAAAUUGUUCAAGUGUUAUGCUACACUUAAACCAUCCUUGUACUUCACAUUGAUGAGCUCUUUGAUCAAGAAGGCUUUCUUAGCUGGAGUCUUCUUCUCGAACAAGGACUCAAGCUUUGUCCAAAACUUGCGAGCAUUGGUUUCAUUAGACACAUGGUGAAAAACACUAUCGUCCACCCAUUGUCUAAUUGUGCCAAUAGCCUUACGAUUCAUCUUCUUCCACUCGGCAUCGGACAUGCUCUCUGGCUUAGCGGCAUCUCCUUCAAUUGGCUCAUUCAGAUCAUUGCAAUAAAGAAUGUCCUCCAUCCUUGGCUUCCAUGUUACCCAAUUGAAGUUGGUGAGUUUGAUCAUAGUGCCACUUCCUUCCAUCUCGUAGUACGAGCCAACCGGGCUCUGAUACCACUUGUUAGGAAUGUCGGUACUACAAGAUAUAGAAUGCACAAGGUAAAGUAGAAAAUGGACACCAAGAAUUUAUGUGGUUCGGCAAUUUAUGCCUACGUCCACCAAACAAGGAUCAAUCUUCACUAUAUGAAAAAGAUGGGUACAACAAGAGUAGUCUUACCAAGCCAAAGACAAGGCUUGAUGGAUACAAGAGAGUAUAACAACACUUCCUCUCACAUUAAACUUCACUCACACUAUGUGUAGUGGAACACACUCACUCUUACUCUUGGAGUGGAACUAUAGCUUUGGACUUGAUCUUUUGCUACUCACUCUUAGUUCUUAAUUGGUUACAUCACACCCAUAUUUAUAGGUGAGGGCUUGACAUUCUACUAGUUUCUAGUUCCUUCUUCAAACCUCUAGUAUAGAAAAAUCUAGACUAGCCACAUACUUGUAGCUUCUAGAUCUUUCCAUUUGCAACCAAGGAAGCUAGUACUCUCUAGCUUCUUCCAUCAACUUAAUAACAUGCUAGAAUUGUCUAGCAAGCUCCAGCCUCAUCUCUUGCUUACUAGAAUAAUCUAGAAC
rnacentral:lncRNA from 1 species